rnacentral:rRNA from 1 species
UACGGGGGGAGCAAGCGUUGUUCGGAUUUACUGGGCGUAAAGGGCGCGUAGGCGGCCAGCGCAAGUCAGUUGUGAAAUCUCCGGGCUUAACUCGGAACGGUCAACUGAUACUGCGCGGCUAGAGGUGCGGAAGGGGCAACUGGAAUUCUCGGUGUAGCGGUGAAAUGCGUAGAUAUCGAGAGGAACACCUGCGGCGAAGGCGGGUAGCUGGGCCGACAC